GUAGAAUUCCAGGUGUAGCGGUGAAAUGCGUAGAGAUCUGGAGGAAUACCGGUGGCGAAGGCGGCCCCCUGGACAAAGACUGACGCUCAGGUGCGAAAGCGUGGGGAGCAAACAGGAUUAGAUACCCUGGUAGUCCACGCCGUAAACGAUGUCGACUUGGAGGUUGUGCCCUUGAGGCGUGGCUUCCGGAGCUAACGCGUUAAGUCGACCGCCUGGGGAGUACGGCCGCAAGGUUAAAACUCAAAUGAAUUGACGGGGGCCCGCACAAGCGGUGGAGCAUGUGGUUUAAUUCGAUGCAACGCGAAGAAC
rnacentral:rRNA from 1 species